ACCUGGUUGAUCCUGCCAGAGGCGACCGCUAUUGGAGUUCGAUUAAGCCAUGCGAGUAGAAAGAAAUUAGAUUCUUUGCAUACUGCUCAGUAACACGUGGAUAACCUGCCCUACACUGGGGGAUAAUCUCGGGAAACUGAGGAUAAUACCCCAUAGACCACUACGCCUGGAACGGUGAGUGGUUGAAAGCUCAGGCGGUGUAGGAUGGGUCUGCGGCGUAUCAGGUCGUAGGGGGUGUAAUGGACCUCCUAGCCAUCGACGCGUACGGGUUGUGGGAGCAAUAGCCCGGAGACGGAUUCUGAGACACGAAUCCGGACCCUACGGGGUGCAGCAGGCGCGAAAACUUCACACUGCAGGAAACUGCGAUGAGGGAACUCCAAGUGACUGCACAAUGUGUAGCCUUUUCUUGAAUUUUAAUAGUUCUUGGAACAAGGGCUGGGAAAGACCGGUGCCAGCCGCCGCGGUAAUACCGGCAGCUCGAGUGGUCGCCGCUUUUAUUGGGCCUAAAACGUCCGUAGCCUGUUUGGUAAAUCUGUGGGUAAA
rnacentral:rRNA from 1 species